rnacentral:lncRNA from 1 species
AUGGUGAACACCAUGAACUUUGGCUAAUGUUUCCUUACAGUUAACAUAGCCAUCAAUGCAGGGUCUUGAGAGAAAACCAUCAUUCUGACACCUUCAGACUCCCUUGUUUCAUAUGUUUCAACAAAUUUAGUUGAAAGCUUAUUAUUCCUUUCUUGGACAUUAGUUGCAUUUAGGUUUCAACAAAUCCUAAAAGAAAUACCUCUUUUCAUGAGCUAAGCCCCUUAGAAGUUUCAACCAUCCUAUCUACAUUCAUAUGAAGAGUCCCAAAUUUGCAGAAAUAAAAGAUGUAGCAAAACCAUCAAAGGACAACCAUGAUGCAUACGAGUACCAUCCAGCUUUGACAGAUUUUCAUCAUAGGAUGAGAGGAACGAGUUUUCGUAUCCUUUUUGAGAUGGUUAACUUUGACUGGAUCUAUUACCACUUACUGUUUCUAUCCUGUUUCUGCUCUUAUGCAGUGCAGAUGCUUCAACAUAUAUGUGAAGGAGUUGCUCAAGUUUCAAAAUAGCUUUUCUACUCCAAAGUGCAAGUGCUGCCCUUCAUUUUUAAUAAUUUUGGUUGACUUCUUUAGUGCAAGAAAUUGUUUCAAUUGUAGACUAAAUUAUUAUGUUACUGUUUUAGGUUUGCUUGGAGGGUUUCUGACUGUACUCCAAGGAUUUUUCACUUAGUUUGUCUUACAAUAUUUGUAGAACUUGUUACCAUUAACUCAUUGUAAAUGUUUUCCCUCGACAUGCUUAAUUUUUGCAUAACUUUGUGAUGGCCGUCGAGACUUGACAAUAACUGUGCUAUUAUAAUCCAUGUUGGCAUGUUAAAUUUUUGUUAUGAAACUUUAAUUUACUAUCCCUCUAACUAAUGCAUGACUCAAAUUCCCUUUUGGCAAAUUCCUCGUUUCUUGUUGUUACCUUGAGCAAUUGUUUUCUUGAAUCAGAAAAAAUUAAUAAAUAGCAAAAUUUGAUUCUAUUGUUUUUCUUAAUUGCAGUAAAGCCAUGUUGCUAUGGGCAAUUCUACCUGUUAAAUGAACAAGAAAUGCUAGGAAGUUUUGACUUUAGAUAUCAGUAUCUUAGAUCAUGAUAUCACUGUUUGUGACCUGCUGCACAGAUUAAGAAAGUAAAUUUGUGCCCCACACCAAUUUACUUAAUAAGUAUAUGUACAUAUACUUAUUGGCAAUUCUACCUGUUAAAUGAACAAGAAAUGCUAGGAAGUUUUGACUUUAGAUAUCAGUAUCUUAGAUCUUGAUAUCACUGUUUGUGACCUGCAGCACAGAUUGAGAAAGUUAAUUUGUGCCCCACACCAAUUACAUACAUACCAUAUAUAUAUAUAUAUAUAUAUAUAUAUAUAUNNNN